AGACCCAGCUGUGAUGAAGAGCUUCAGAAAUGAAACUACUGUGAAAUAUGAGUCUCCUCCUACUGACUGCAGAGCUGCUUCAUGGCAGAGAACUCUUUGAUUCCAGCUGUGAACAUCAGACCAAACACAACUGACAGAACGUGUUCAUACUGAACAUUCAGUUCCAGCAUUUCUCCUCUGUCAACAUGGAGAAACUCGCUGCACUUUUGUUCUUUUCAGCUCUCGUAGGUAACACCUUGGAAGAUGAUAUUACUGCCAGCAGAGCUGAAGUGUUCUCAUCAGAGGGCCGUAGUGUUACUCUGUCCUGUAGCUAUUCAGUUAAAGCCGAGAAUCUCCAGUGGUAUCGACAGGAUCCUGGAUCAGCUCCUCAGUUCCUUCUCCUGAUCACUGAUGCAAAAGAGCCUUCAGUGGAGGAAGCAAAACCUCCACACCCUCAACUGACCGCUAACCUGAAUGAGGAGAGGAAUCGAGUCGAUCUGCAGAUCUCCUCUGCUGCAGUGACAGACUCUGCUGUGUACUACUGUGUAUAA